GACGGAGGGUGCAAGCGUUAUUCGGAAUUAUUGGGCGUAAAGAGUGUGUAGGCGGCCGGUUAAGUCAGGCGUGAAAGCCCAGGGCUCAACCCUGGAAGUGCGUUUGAAACUGGCUGGCUUGAGUUCGGGAGAGGGAAGCGGAAUUCCGGGUGUAGAGGUGAAAUUCGUAGAUAUCCGGAGGAACAUCGGUGGCGAAGGCGGCUUCCUGGACCGAAACUGACGCUGAGACACGAAAGCGUGGGGAGCAAACAGG
rnacentral:rRNA from 1 species